rnacentral:rRNA from 1 species
UACGUAGGUGGCAAGCGUUGUCCGGAUUUACUGGGCGUAAAGAGCGCGCAGGCGGUCGUGCAAGUCGCGUGUGAAAGCCCCCGGCUCAACUGGGGAGGGUCACGCGAUACUGCUCGACUCGAAGGCAGGAGAGGGAAGUGGAAUUCCGGGUGUAGUGGUGAAAUGCGUAGAUAUCCGGAGGAACACCAGUGGCGAAGGCGACUUUCUGGCCUGUUCUUGACGCUGAGGCGCGAAAGCUAGGGGAGCAAACGGG